GCGCACCAUUAGCUUGUUGGCGGGGUAACGGCCCACCAAGGCUAAGAUGGUUAGCUGGUCUGAGAGGACGACCAGCGACACUGGAACUGGAACACGGUCCAGACUCCUACGGGAGGCAGCAGUGGGGAAUAUUGGACAAUGGGCGAAAGCCUGAUCCAGCAACGCCGCGUGAGUGAUGAAGGCCUUCGGGUCGUAAAGCUCUGUCAGAGGGAACGAAUAAGGACGCUCUAACACAGCGUCCGAUGACGGUACUCUCAAAGGAAGCACCGGCUAACUCUGUGCCAGCAGCCGCGGUAAGACAGAGGGUGCAAGCGUUGUUCGGAAUCACUGGGCGUAAAGCGUAUGUAGGCGGCGGGAUGUGUUCGAUGUGAAAGCCCUCGGCUUAACUGAGGAAGUGCAUCGAAAACUAUUCUGCUCGAGUGCGAGAGAGGGUGGCGGAAUUCCCAGAGUAGAGGUGAAAUUCGUAGAUACUGGGAGGAACACCUGAGGCGAAGGCGGCCACCUGGCUCGUAACUGACGCUGAGAUACGAAAGCGUGGGUAGCAAACAGGAUUAGAUACCCUGGUAGUCCACGCCGUAAACGAUGAUCACUUGAUGUCGGGAGAAUUGACCCUUUCGGUGUCGUAGCUAACGCGAUAA
rnacentral:rRNA from 1 species